CCCAGACUCCUACGGGAGGCAGCAGUGAGGAAUAUUGGUCAAUGGCCGGGAGGCUGAACCAGCCAAGUCGCGUGAGGGAAGACGGCCCUACGGGUUGUAAACCUCUUUUGUCAGGGAGCAAGGUGCAGGUCGGGACCUGCUGUGAGAGUACCUGAAGAAAAAGCAUCGGCUAACUCCGUGCCAGCAGCCGCGGUAAUACGGAGGAUGCGAGCGUUAUCCGGAUUUAUUGGGUUUAAAGGGUGCGUAGGCGGGAUGCCAAGUCAGCGGUCAAAUACGGGGCCCCAACCUGCGUCCGCCGUUGAAACUGGCGUUCUUGAGUGGGCGAGAAGUACGCGGAAUGCGUGGUGUAGCGGUGAAAUGCAUAGAUAUCACGCAGAACUCCGAUUGCGAAGGCAGCAUACCGGCGCGCAACUGACGCUCAUGCACGAAAGCGUGGGUAUCGAACAGGAUUAGAUACCCUCGUA
rnacentral:rRNA from 1 species